UUGAUCUCAAAUCAGGUAGGACUACCCGCUGAACUUAAGCAUAUCAAUAAGCGGAAGGA
rnacentral:rRNA from 1 species